rnacentral:lncRNA from 1 species
CCAUGGAGCUGUCACACCCGAUUUUAAGGACAAAAUCGAAUGCACAAUAUAUGAAUGCCAGGAUCAAAACUCAUUCAUAUAUCGACUUUAUUAUAGUAUCAAAAUCAAAGUUUGUUACAUAAUCGAUAAACAUUAUUUCAAAAUGACCCAUGGGUAUAAAAGAAAAAUCUAAAUAAUCUAUUUAUUCUCCAGCGGAAAUGGGGCGCCAUCUUCACAGGAACGUCGACCGGGGGUUGCACCAGCCUAGUACACAUCAUCGGGGUCGAAGGCGUCAUCGUCAGCGGCGUACUCCUGAGUGUCGUCUCCAGCGUCUGGGUGGGGUAGCAGGGGGGGACAAAGAGGAAGGGUGAGUACAUCGAAAUGUACUCCGCAAGUGUAGGAAAAUAUAUGACAUGAGGCUUAUAACAAGGGUAGGCUACUUUGGUUGACACCAGCACCUAUAGCGACACACCUAUUACCUUAAAUCCUUAAGCGCCUAUUUAUCUAAGUGAAACCACAAUCUCCUCAAAUAACUGUGCCAACACUCGGAUUCCAUCUGAGCAAACCACACUUGGACUCCAUCCAAGCAAACCACCAAACCGGAGCCAACUAAUCUCGAAGAAGUCCAAGCCGCUCCUGACCGUGAGCGCGGCUGAUAUACCAGUUUUACACUCUGCAGAGGUUGCACACUUUCACAACGAGUCAUGUUUUCCCCAUCACGCCUCACACUACCUAGGUGCUCGGCAGGGUCACACUACAAGGCCUUUACAAAGCUGUUGUUCCCACCCCUGUGCAUUCACUAAGGAUUCGCCGAUUUAGGCCCCCUCGUGUGCCACCUAACUCUCCACAAUGCACAGAAAAUGGGCAGCUAAUUAGUUAGCCAGGUCAUACCAUAUAGACCUCGUGGAUGCGCUGUUAAGCCGGUUACAUGCUCCGAGAACCGGUCCUUAGAAUCCAACAGGGACGAACACAAACCCGAUCCACCAACAUCUGCCGCCAUUACAUGGCAAAAACCAAACCUCACCCAAUCUUUCCAUCCUGUCAGAUUCCUAGUCUCCAUGUUGCUAAAAACAUUACCAACCCACAUGUUGCGUAGACCAUUUAUCAAUAUUAAAUUAUAGCCAUUUUCCAAUUCCCAAGACUGCAUGCUAAGCACGAUGGCUACCCUUUCAAAACCCAGGUUACAAGGAUGAUAUAAACAAGUUCUAGUAAACCCGAACAUGGGAUUCAAAAUUAAGACUUUGCAUGCAACUAAUGGUCUAACUAAACUAACUCAAAAGUAAAAUAAAUGUAGGCGCAAGAUGGUCAAGGACACUUGCCUUGGAACUGGGUUUGGUCUGGAAAGUCAAACUCCUGAUCCUGGAGGUUCUCGAAAUCAGCACCGUCUGUAUUCAAUACACCAAACAUGGCCCAAACAAAAACAUAAUAAGAACAAUACACCAGACGGUCGAAAAGCACAAAAUAAAGCGUACUGAUGCGUAGAGCUCAUCGAUACGAAUCUAAUGCGAUUUGAACGUGUCAAAUUGGAGCUAGAGUGUGAAAAUGGAUUUUUCAAAGUUUGGAAGAUUAAAAUACUUAUUUGAAAAUGACUACAAAAUAUUUAACAGAUUUAUUUUAAUUCUAAAAAAAAUGUUAUUUAUGAUUUUUAAGAAAAGAAAAAUAAGGCCGAUAAUAUAUUUGUACAAGUAAGGAAGUGGCAAACUAAUACGUUUGGAUGAUUUAUUACUGUGAAGUAUAUAUGUGCUAUUAACUAUAGAUGGGAGGGAGUAGGUGGCUAUUUAUGCAAGACUCAGCGAAUAGUGUCUUGAUCCGAAUAAAACCUAGGGACCAGAAUGCAAAGUACGCGGCACUAUGCUACGCACUGGGUCCAUGAACUAUGGACCGAGAAAGGAAUGUGACAGAAGUCCACCAUGGACCAUGUCCAUGAUGAGGUGUAUUUGGAGUGUAUUUGUGGAUUUGUUUUUCUACAUGAAAACGGUCAAAAAUCGAAUGUGAUGACAUGCUGAUGUGAACGUGAUGUCAGCAAGCUAAGAAACUAAAGCCAACAAGAAAAUAGAGCAUCACGACCGGCUGCUAGCUCUGUGCGGUGCGGUUGCCGGCAAGCGGGUGCUGUGCAUCUGCGUGCGUGAGUGAUGGGAGUACGCAGGGACGAGGCUGUGUGCAGGUGCUUGUAGCUGGCAUUGCCGCGUCCAGAACCGAAGUCAUCGGAGCAGUCUGGUGCAAGCCGUGUGCACGGUGCUGCCAUAGACGGCAACGCACGGUCGCGCUCCGACUGAGGCCGAUUCCGGCUCCGUACGUGCUGCUCUAUGGAGAGUUAAGAUAGAGUCAAAGAGGAUACUCACCGUGCAACCGGAAGGGUCGGAGGAGCGGCAAUGAUCACCAAGACGCGGUGCAUGGCGUGCGGCGACGCUACGGCGUGGUAAGGCGGCGGCGACUGUAGCAGCACUAUUGGAGCUGGAGCGGGUCAGAGCUGUCGUGGUGGCGAGAUGUGUUGUCCGUGUGAAGGCGGUGCUCUCCUAAUACAUAGGGAGAAGGAGAGACGGACGAGGGGCGUGGAGGCUGGGGCUGCUGCGCAAACACCGGCCGUGCUAAGUGCUAAGUGCGCAUGGAGCGGAUCAAGACCCGGGGUGUGUGGAGUGGCUUGGUCCGCGUGUUUGCCUCCAAGAUGCAUGCAACUAAAUAUAGGAGCAGGCUUUGUGCGUGUGGUUCUUGACACCUGGCUGGUCAGGGCGGAUCGAGGCGGCGGAGGUGUCAUGCCUGUUCUACGUGGCGCGGUGGUCGUGGGAGAUGGCUCACGGCUCGGUCCUCGCUGCGGAGUUGGUCGCAGUUGCUGCGCGGUGGGGCUAGGUCCUCGCGGCUCAGAUUGGUCCGUGUGCACCGACGAUGGCGGCGUGCGACGGACGAGCUGGAGGAGACACGGAGUUGCUGUCACAUGUGGGCUGCCCUUGUGGGCUUGCUGCUCACGUGGCUAGCAGGUGCCGCUGGCCCAAGAGAGAGAUGAGAGGAAUUAUAUUUUUUUUCUUUUGUAUAUCCAUUUGAGGCACCAAUUCAAAUCUUUUUUUGUCCAAACCAAAACUUGUUUCGCAAAUAAAAUUUAGGACACUUUAUUUCAUAAAUAAAGCAUAAAUUGAUUCGUACCUACCUUGAAUUUUAAUAUAUAUAUAUAUUUAACCCAACAAAAGUAAUGCAAGUGGCAUGAUGCAACAAAAUAAAUCCUUAUUCUAUAAACUAUUAUUUCCCUCCUCUAUUAUUUAGCCAUAACCUUAGUUUAACUUCAAACAAAUUUUAUAAACUUGCAAAAAUUUUAAACUAGGGUGUUACAAACCUACCCCACUUAAGAAGAAUCUCGUCCUCGAGAUUAGGGAAGGUCGUCGAAGAGAUGAGGGAAUUCUGCUUUAAGAUCAUCUUCUUUUUCCCAAGUGGCAUCUUUCUUGGAAUAAUGCUUCCAUUGCACUUUGCACAUUUUGAUUCUCUUGUUUCGAGUGCCUUUUUCUGAGGUGUCCAAAAUCUUGAUCGGCUCAGAGAAAGAUAAAUCUUCUCUCAAAUCUAUAUCCUCAAAUGGUAGUUGUUCUUCUGGGACCCUCAAACAUUUCUUCAACUGUGAGACAUGGAACACAUCAUGUAUUUCUGAAAAUUGUGGAGGUAACUCCAACUGGUAAGCCACUACUCCUUUUCUGUCAAUCACCUUGAAAGGUCCAACGUAUCUCGGUGCAAGCUUUCCUUUGACAUUAAAUCUCUUGAGACCCCUGAUUGGUGACACUUUGAGAUACACAAAAUCUCCAACUUCAAACACUAGUUCUUUUCUUCUUUUAUCAGCAUAACUUUUCUAUCUAGAUUGAGCCGUCUUUAGGUUGUUUCGAACUUCUUGGACUUGUUCCUCAGCUUCUUUUAUCGAGUCAGGACCAAAUACUUUUCUCUCUCCAACUUGGUUCCAAAACAAGGGAGUUCUACACUUCUUCCCAUACAAGGCCUCAAAAGGCGCCAUCUUGAGACUGGCUUGAUAGCUAUUGUUGUAAGAGAACUCUGCAUAUGGUAGGCUUUUAUCCCAACUCUGGAUGUUCCGAAGGGCACAAGCUCUCAACAUGUCCUCCAAAAUUUGAUGUACCCCUUCGGUUUGACCAUCAGUUUGUGGGUGAUAUGCUGAGCUGAAAUUUAGCCGAGUGUCCAUGGACUCGUGCAAACGUUUCCAAAAGCGUUAUGUGAAUUGUGUACCUCUAUCUGAUACUAUGAUCUUGGGCACUCCAUGCAAACAUACAAUCCGAGACAUGUACAGCUCUGCAAGCUUGGGCCCUUGAUAUGUUUCUUUGACAGGGAUGAAAUGAGCAACCUUUGUCAAACGAUCCACUAUGACCCAUAUGGAAUCAUAUCCGGAUUAUGUUCGGGGUAAGCCUACUAUGAAAUCCAUACUUAUUUCUUCCCAUUUCCACUCAGGGAUUUUCAGUGGUUGUAGCAACCUAGCUGGCCUUUGAUGUUCAGCCUUGAUCCUCUGACAUGUGUCACAAAUGGCCACAUACUCAGCUACUUCUCGUUUCAUGCCAUACCACCAAUAGUAAUGUUUCAGAUCAUUAUACAUCUUGGUACUACCGGGGUGAACUGAGUAUGCUGAAUCAUGUGCCUCUCUCAAAAUCACUUCUUUUAUGGACUUAAUGUCGGGGACACAAAUCCUUCCUUUGAACCAUAUUACUCCUUGUUCAUCUUCUGCGAAUCCUGGAGCCUUACCAUCCUUAAUCAAUUUCCUGAUCUCUAGGAUCUUUUCAUCAGUGAGUUGUCCCUUUCUGAUAUCUUGCUCUAAUGCGGACUCUACUUCCAUAGCCACAACUUCUGUGCUACCUACAAAUCCCAAGUUGAGUUUAGCAAACUCAUCAUACAACUCAGGUUGUCGCUCCUGUAAUUCUAACACGUUGCAAUGGACCUUCCGACUUAGUGCAUCUGCAACCACAUUAGCCUUGCCUGGAUGGUAAUUAAUGUUCAAGUCAUAAUCCUUGAUUAAUUCCAACCAUCUACGCUGUCGAAGGUUCAAAUCUUGCUGAGUGAAAAUGUAUUUCAAGCUCUUAUGAUCUAUAUAUAUCUCAGUCUUUUUUCCAAUCAAAUAGUGCCUCCAAAUCUUUAGAGCAUGCACUACAGCGGCUAACUCAAGGUCAUGAGUAGGAUAGUUCACUUCAUGCUUUCUAAGCUGUCAUGAGGCAUAAGCUACCAAAUGGCCUUCUUGCAUGAGGACACACCCUAGACCCUGGUGAGAGGCAUCACAAUAGACUGAGAAACUCUUCUGAACAUUAGGCAUUAUUAGUAUUGGAGCAGUGGUUAAUCUUUUCUUGAGAUCCUCAAAACUAGCUUGACACUCUGGGGUCCACACAAACUUGGAUCCCUUCUCCAACAACUUAGUCAUUGGCUUUGCUAUCUUAGAGAACCCUUCAAUGAAGCGGCGGUAAUAUCCAACCAUUCCCAAGAAGCUUCGGAUCUCACUCACAUUUUCAGGUACCUUCCAAUUCAGCACAUCUUUCACUUUACUUGGAUCCACAGACACUCCGCCUUUGGAGAUAACAUGACCCAAGAAGAAAACUUCCUUCAACCAAAACUCGCAUUUGCUGAGCUUUGCAUACAAUUGGUGAUCUCUGAGCUUUUAGAGCACUAACCUCAGAUGUCCCUCAUGUUCUUCUUCAUUCUUGGAGAAGACCAAAGUAUCAUCAAUGAAGACCACGACAAAUUUGUCCAGGUACUCCAUAAAGACCUUGUUCAUGAGGUACAUAAAACAGGCAGGAGCAUUGGUCAAUCCAAAUGACAUCACUGUGUACUCAUACAAACCAUAGCGUGAGACAAAAGCUGUCUUUGGAAUAUCCGAGGCUCGGAUCUCAGCUGAUGGUAGCUGGAUCUCAAGUCAAUCUUGGAGAACACACUUGCACCUUUGAAUUGAUCAAACAAAUCUUCAAUGCGGGGAAGAGGAUAUUUAUUCUUGAUGGUAACAUCAUUUAGUGCGCGAUAAUCUACGCACAUCCUCUGAGUUCCAUCUUUCUUUGGGACAAAAAUGACUGGGGCUCCCCAAGAUGAGGUACUAGGACGAAUAUACCCUUUAUCUAGGAGGUCUUGGAUUUGAUCUUUUAAUUCAGCUAGUUGAUUUGUGUCCAUUCUGUACGGCCUUUUGUAAAUAGGUGCAGUACCAGGUACUAAUUCAAUGCAAAACUCAAUUUCUCGGUCUGGUGGCAUACCUGGCAAUUCCUCUGGAAAGACAUCUGGGAAGUCACUGACCACUCUAACCACUUCUACAUCAUUGGCUUGGUUGAGUGUGAUUCUCUCGGUUGGUGCUGCCUCAGCUUGAUAUUCCACCUUGGUACCAUCUGGAUGCUUCAACAGAACCACCUUUCUAGCACAUCCAAUUAUUCCAUCAUGUUUGGUCAGCCAGUCCAUUCCUAGAAUGAUGUCUAUGCCCUUUGACUCCAGGAUGAUAAGAUUUGCAAGGAAAUCUACCCCAUUUAUGGAAAUCCUUAUAUUUGGGCAUACUUGCCUACAUAUCAAUUCUCCUCCAGGAGAGUCAACUAUCAUGUUUCUCUUCAAAGGAAUUUUUGGUAUGCUAUGUUGUGCUACAAACUUGCUGGAUAUAAAGGAAUCUGAUGCACCAGAGUCAAAUAAAACUGUAACAAGGUUGGAAUUGAUGGGUAACAUACCAAGCACAACACCGUAGGUGUUCUGAGCCUCCUCUGCAACAACAUGGUUGACCUUUCCAUAUCGAGCCUGUUGUUGCAGCUGGUUCUGCUGGUCCUUCUUUGGGCACCUAUUGGCGAGAUGUCCCAUCUGGUUGCACUUGUAACAAGGGCCUAUCUUGCUUGAUCCCUGUGCUGGAAGGUUCUGUGCCUGAGCUUGGACUACUUGGCGAGGUGCCUGACAGUUCUGGCGUGCCUGCUGCUGCUGCUGCUGCUGGGGCUGAACCCGCUGAGCCUGCUGAGUUUGCUGUUGUCUAUACUGACCAUUUCCAGAUCCUGGGUUGGAGUUCCUCUGCUGCUGGUACUGGCCUCCUUGCCUAGAGACUGAUCCAGGCUGGCUGAAGCGAGGGUGGACAUGACCCCCAGAUGACUGACCCUGGAAAGACGCCUUCCUCUUGCGAUCAGCUUCAAGAAAUUUCCUUUCCUUUUCAACUGAGAAAGCCUUAUCAACAAGCUUUCGGAAGGAGCGAUAGUCAUUGGAGGACAGGGCAUAGCGGAUCCUAGGGUGAAGGCCCUCUCUGAAACAGUCUUGCUUCUUCUCAUCGGUGUUUACAUCCUCAGGGGCAUAACGGGACAAUUGCGUGAACUUAUUGAGAUAUUCACGAACUGUCAUGGAACCCAUCUUGAGCUCUUGGAAUUCCUUGCGCUUCGCCUUGAUCUCACCAGCUGGUACAUACUGAGCACGAAAGCUGCGACAAAACUCCCGCCAUGUGAUAGCAUGGGCAUCCUCAUGAGCAGCAGUGUAAGAGGUCCACCAGUUCUUCGCUUGGACUUGCAACUGAUGGGCAGCAUAAAGGACCUUGUCACGUCCUUCACAAUGGGCAAUCUCUAGCUUGUCACUAAUCAUCUGGAGCCAAUCAUCAGCAUCCAUCGGCUCCACAGCAUGCUUGAAGAUAGGAGGGUUAGUCAUCAUGAACCUCCUAAGAGUAUCCUCCUGACGAGGUGGAGGAGGAGGGGGGAGGUGCUCUAGCUUGUGCAGCUUGCUGAUCCUGAGCCAUCUGCUGCAUAGAGGCCAUAAUCUGUGCCAUGUUCUGCAUCAUCUCAUUCUGCAUGGCGGCCAUCUGCAUGGGAUCAUAGACUGGUGGCGGUGGCGGUGGAAGGUUGUCCUCCUGAUCAUUGCCUCCAUUUCCUCUGCCGUUCCUGGUGUUGACCGGCAUCUGUUGCAGUUUUUCCAUGGUAGGUGUGAGAUAUGCUAGAUAGAUAACCCGAGAGAUAAUGAAUUUGGAGGGUGCAAAAGAUAGAAGACCCCAAUCUAUUUUAUAAAUAAAUAAAAAAAAUAACAAAUGAUGCCAUUGCAGCCUUACGGACGCAACACAUCAACAAUCAUUACAAAGAUCCAAACCAAAACAUGUGCACAAGUACAUUGCAUACAACGAUCUAUCGAGAUAAAACAUUAGGGUGGCACCUUAGGGUUUGUGGACCUAGUUUGGAACAAAAAGUUUGAAUACAGCAAAGGGAAACUAGAGAUGUGGAGAAUAAGGAAAGAUUUUAUGAAAAUACUUUUCUAAAACACCAUGACUACCUAGGCUAGAAUCCUACAGUCAACGAUGGCUCUGAUACCACUUUGUCACACACGAUUUUAAAGACAAAAUUGAAUGCACAAUAUAUGAAUGCCAAGAUCAAAACUCAUUCAUAUAUCGACUUUAUUAUAGUAUCAAAAUCAAAGUUUGUUACAUAAUCGAUAAACAUUAUUACAAAAUGACCCGUGGGUCUAAAUGAAAUAUCUAAAUAAUCUAUUUAUUCUCCAGCAGAAAUGGGGCGCCAUCUUCACAGGAACGUCGACCGGGGGUUGCACCAGCCUAGUACACAUCAUCGGGGUCGAAGGCGUCAUCGUCAGCGGCGUACUCCUGAGUGUCGUCUCCAGCGUCUGGGUGGGGUAGCAGGGGGACAAAGAGGAAGGGUGAGUACAUCGAAAUGUACUCCGCAAGUGUAGGAAAAUAUAUGACAUGAGGCUUAUAACAAGGGUAGGCUACUUUGGUUGACACCAGCACCUAUAGCAACACACCUAUUACCUUAAAUCCUUAAGCGCCUAUUUAUCUAAGUGAAACCACAAUCUCCUCAAAUAACUGUGCCAACACUCGGAUUCCAUCCGAGCAAACCACACUUGGACUCCAUCCAAGCAAACCACCAAAUCGGAGCCAACUAAUCUCGAAGAAGUCCAAGCCGCUCCUGACCGCGAGCGCGGCUGAUAUACCAGUUUUACACUCUGCAGAGGUUGCACACUUUCACCACGAGUCAUGUUUUCCCCAUCACGCCUCACACUACCUAGGUGCUCGGCAGGGUCACACUACAAGGCCUUUACAAAGCUGUUGUUCCCACCCCUGUGCAUUCACUAAGGAUUCGCCGAUUUAGGCCCCCUCGUGUGCCACCUAACUCUCCACAAUGCACAGAAAUGGGCAGCUAAUUAGUUAGCCAGGUCAUACCAUAUAGACCUCGUGGAUGCGCUGUUAAGCCGGUUACAUGCUCCGAGAACCGGUCCUUAGAAUCCUACAGGGACGAACACAAACCCGAUCCACCAACAUCUGCCGCCAUUACAUGGCAAAAACCAAACCUCACCCAAUCUUUCCAUCCUGUCAGAUUCCUAGUCUCCAUGUUGCUAAAAACAUUACCAACCCACAUGUUGCGUAGACCAUUUAUCAAUAUUAAAUUACAGCCAUUUUCCAAUUCCUAAGACUGCAAGCUAAGCACGAUGGCUACCCUUUCAAAACCCAGGUUACAAGGAUGAUAUAAACAAGUUCUAGUAAACCCGAACAUGGGAUUCAAAAUUAAGACUUUGCAUGCAACUAAUGGUCUAACUAAACUAACUCAAAAGUAAAAUAAAUGUAGGCGCAAGAUGGUCAAGGACACUUGCCUUGGAACUGGGUUUGGUCUGGAAAGUCAAACUCCUGAUCUUGGAGGUUCUCGAAAUCAGCACCGUCUGUAUUCAAUACACCAAACAUGGCCCAAACAAAAACAUAAUAAGAACAAUACACCAGACAGUCGAAAAGCACAAAAUAAAGUGUACUGAUGCGUAGAGCUCAUCGAUACGAAUCUAAUGCGAUUUGAACGUGUCAAAUUGGAGCUAGAGUGUGAAAAUGGAUUUUUCAAAGUUUGGAAGAUUAAAAUAAUUAUUUGAAAAUGACUACAAAAUAUUUAACAGAUUUGUUUUUCUUCUAAAAAAAUGUUAUUUAUGAUUUUUAAGAAAAGAAAAAUAAGGCCGAUAAUAUAUUUGUACAAGUAAGGAAGUGGCAGACUAAUACGUUUGGAUGAUUUAUUACUGUGAAGUAUCUAUGUGCUAUUAACUAUAGAUGGGAGGGAGUAGGUGGCUAUUUAUGCAAGACUCAGCGAAUAGUGUCUUGAUCCGAAUAAAACCUAGGGACCAGAAUGCAAAGUACGCGGCACUAUGCUACGCACUGGGUCCAUGAACUAUGGACCGAGAAAGGAAUGUGACAGAAGUCCACCAUGGACCAUGUCCAUGAUGAGGUGUAUUUGGAGUGUAUUUGUGGAUUUGUUUUUCUACAUGAAAACGGCCAAAAAUCGAAUGUGAUGACAUGCUGAUGUGAACGUGAUGUCAGCAAGCUAAGAAACUAAAGCCAACAAGAAAAUAGAGCAUCACGACCGGCUGCUAGCUCUGUGCGGUGCGGUUGCCGGCAAGCGGGUGCUGUGCAUCUGCGUGCGUGAGUGAUGGGAGUACGCAGGGACGAGGCUGUGUGCAGGUGCUUGUAGCUGGCAUUGCCGCGUCCAGAACCGAAGUCAUCGGAGCAGUCUGCUGCAAGCCGUGUGCACGGUGCUGCCAUAGACGGCAACGCACGGUCGUGCUCCGACUGAGGCUGAUUCUGGCUCCGUACGUGCUGCUCUAUGGAGAGUUAAGAUAGAGUCAAAGAGGAUGCUCACCGUGCAACCGGAAGGGUCGGAGGAGCGGCGAUGAUCACCAAGACGCGGUGCAGGGCGUGCGGCGGCGCUACGGCGUGGUAAGGCGGCGGCGACUGUAGCAGUACUAUUGGAGCUGGAGCGGGUCAGAGCUGUCGUGGUGGCGAGAUGUGUUGUCCAUGUGAAG